rnacentral:rRNA from 1 species
AUAUCAAUAAGCGGAGGAAAAGAAACCAACAGGGAUUGCCUCAGUAACGGCGAGUGAAGCGGCAAAAGCUCAAAUUUGAAAUCUGGCUCUUUCAGGGUCCGAGUUGUAAUUUGUAGAAGAUGUUUCGGGUGUGGCUCCGGUUUAAGUUCUUUGGAAUAUUACAUCAUAGAGGGUGAGAAUCCCGUAUGUGACCGGCAGCCUUCGUCCAUGUGAAACUCUUUCGACGAGUCGAGUUGUUUGGGAAUGCAGCUCAAAAUGGGAGGUAUAUUUCUUCUAAAGCUAAAUAUUGGCCAGAGACCGAUAGCGCACAAGUAGAGUGAUCGAAAGAUGAAAAGCACUUUGGAAAGAGAGUUAAACAGUACGUGAAAUUGUUGAAAGGGAAGCGCUUGCAACCAGACUUGCACGCAGUUGAUCAUCCGGUGUUCUCACCGGGGCACUCUGCUGCGUUCAGGCCAGCAUCGGUUUUGGUGGUUGGAUAAAGGCCUUGGGAAUGUGGCUUCCUUCGGGGAGUGUUAUAGCCCUCGGUGCAAUGCAGCCUACCGGGACCGAGGACCGCGCUUCGGCUAGGAUGCUGGCGUAAUGGUUGUAAGCGA